rnacentral:rRNA from 1 species
GACGAACGCUGGCGGCGUGCCUAACACAUGCAAGUCGAGCGGAGUUGGAAGAAGCUGCAGAGAUGUAGCGGGAGCCGACUUAGCGGCGAACGGGUGAGUAACACGUGGGCAAUCUGCCCUCUGGAGCGGGAUAACAGACCGAAAGGCCUGCUAAUACCGCAUGAGGCCUAGGAGUCGCAUGGCAUUUAGGUCAAAGGGGAAACCCGCCGGAGGAGGAGCCCGCGUCCCAUUAGCUAGUUGGCGGUGUAACUGACCACCAAGGCGAUGAUGGGUAGCCGGCCUGAGAGGAUGAUCAGCCACACUGGGACUGAGACACGGCCCAGACUCCUACGGGAGGCAGCAGUGGGGAAUAUUGGUCAAUGGGCGUAAGCCUGAACCAGCCAUCCCGCGUGAAGGAAGACGGCGCUAUGCGUUGUAAACUUCUUUUCCGGAGGAAUAAAAUUUCGUACGUGUACGGAACUGAAGGUACUCCGGGAAUAAGCAUCGGCUAACUCCGUGCC